GGAUAACUUACCCUUUAGGACUGGGAUAACUCUGGGAAACUGGGGAUAAUACUGGAUAGGCAAUUUUUCCUGUAAUGGUUUAUUGUUUAAAUGUUUUUUCGCCUAAGGAUGGGUCUGCGGCCGAUUAGGUAGUUGGUUAGGUAACGGCUUACCAAGCCAUUGAUCGGUACGGGUUGUGAGAGCAAGAGCCCGGAGAUGGAACCUGAGACAAGGUUCCAGGCCCUACGGGGUGCAGCAGGCGCGAAACCUCCGCAAUGUGAGAAAUCGCGACGGGGGGAUCCCAAGUGCCAUUCUUAACGGGAUGGCUUUUCAUUAGUGUAAAGAGCUUUUGGAAUAAGAGCUGGGCAAGACCGGUGCCAGCCGCCGCGGUAACACCGGCAGCUCUAGUGGUAGCAACUUUUAUUGGGCCUAAAGCGUCCGUAGCCGGUUUAAUAAGUCUCUGGUGAAAUCCUGUAGCUUAACUGUGGGAAUUGCUGGAGAUACUAUUAGACUUGAGACCGGGAGAGGUUAGAGGUACUCCCAGGGUAGAGGUGAAAUUCUGUAAUCCUGGGAGGACCGCCUGUUGCGAAGGCGUCUAACUGGAACGGUUCUGACGGUGAGGGACGAAAGUUAGGGGCGCGAACCGGAUUAGAUACCCGGGUAGUCCUAACUGUAAACGAUGCGGACUUGGUGUUGGGGUGGCUUUG
rnacentral:rRNA from 1 species